UAAUGACUUCCGUCUGUCCGAGACAGUUCUUACUCAGAUAAGCCAUGAAUUAUGGGCGGCCCCCUUUUAGUCUUAGGCCUUUGGGGCUUCUUGCAGCUCCUUUACCCAGACCUUUCUUGAAAGCAAGGGAAAUGCUCUCACCAUGCUCCUAGAAACAGCAGCCCAGUCAACAGGCACACUUUUGCUAUUAUAUCUUUGGGCCUGUGCUUGUCUCCUUUUUUAUGGGGGGUGGGAGUGGGGAAGACGUUAAACCUGCUGUACUCUGGCAGUUAGUUGGUGUCCUAAGGAGGUCUUGCUUGGCUCAGAUCCAUGCUGUACCAACAUCAAUUAUUAGAAUUAAUUGCUCCCUAAAACAUAAGAAAUUGCACUGCGAAGAGCCAACAGCAGCGGGGAAACUGUGAGCCUCCUCUUCUCAUCUUCUGAAGACGCACGAGCAGGUACCUUGACAGAACAAACAUCAGCCCUUCGUUGUGUAGACCUGACACCAGCUUCAAUGCUUGGGAGGGAAAGGAUCUUUGUUCAGGAAGUUACUUACUGGACAAUUAACAUGUGGAAACUAUACCAAACAGUAUGUGAAAAUGCUAAGUUCAUGUUGAAUUUCCAAAGGGUGGAGGCUCAUUCUUACAAGACUGUGACAACUCUUGGUGAUGGAAUAAAUGGGAUCAUUAUAUUUCAGUCUCCAGUGAUGCAGAGACCUUUGCAUAGCACAUUACCUCCUGGACAAUUUCCAUGUGGAAACUAUACCAAACAGUAUGUGAAAAUGGACAUGGCAAUAAAUUGUAUGAAAAUCAUUCACAGGAAAACUUACCUUGUAAAAGUCAGGAUUCUUCAAGGAAUACGUGUGCUUCCUGGAGAGAGGAGACAAAGAGUCAGAGACAGAGCUGAAGAUGCUGGUUUAAAAGGAACAACAAGAAGACAGUCUGAAAGGUUCCAAAAAAAAAAAAAAAUAAG